rnacentral:lncRNA from 1 species
GGCGCCUCCACUGAGCGCUUGUUCCAAGCUCCGGACCCGCAGUGCGACAACGUCUUCGUCCCCGCUGAGGUCCCGGCCCAGCUUCCAGAUCCUCGGUGCGCCGACGAUGACGUCCCCGCUGAGGUUCUGCCCAGGAUCCCUCAGCCUCAGCGCGCCGAAGACGCCGCCCCCGCUGAGGUCUCCACCUGUUUUCCCAGCUCCAGUGUGCCGACGAAGUCGUCCCCGCUGGAGCACGGCUCCGGUAUCCCGAGCCCCAGCGUGGUGUCAUGGCCGAUAUCGCUGAGCUCAACCCCCGUCCCCGCUGGAGCUCCACCCCAGACCCUCGCCACCGCAGCAGCCGACCCCCGAGCAGCCGACCCCCGAGCAGCCGACGCCGCAGCAGCAGCAGCAGCCGUCACCAGAGGGUCCCGAGCCACCUGCGCAGCAGCCGCAGAUAGAUCCGCCGGACCAACAGUCUCGACGACGGAGUCAACGCCGUCGGAGGAAGGCCACGUUGGAGCCUCAGUGCGCCGACGAAGACGUCCCCGCUGAGGUUUCCCUCUCCCCUUUCCCAAGUCUCCCGGGCCCUCAGCGUGCCGACAUCAGUGUCCCCACUGAGGGUUCAGCCAAGUCUCCCUGGUCCCCCAGGUCCCCUCCUCCGAGUCCUCAGUGCGCCGAUGACGACGUCCCCGCUGAGGCUCCACCACAGCCGGACUUUCUCUUCGCUGCCCAUUCCUCGCCUGAUCAGAUUCCAGCGCCGCAGCAGCCGUCGCCUGAUCAGCUCCUAGGACCGCAGAGGCAGCAGCCGUCGCCUGAUCAGUUUCCAGAGCCGCCGCGGCAGCCACCAGGCUUUCCAGAGCCGCCGCCGCUGCGACAGCCACCGUUACCUGGGAGUCCCCAGCCGUCUCGGCUGCUGUCACAGCUUCCCCGACCGUCUCAGCUGCUGUCACAGCUUCCCCGACCGUCUCAGCUGCUGCCACAGCUUCCCCAGCCGCAGUCUCCGCGGCCAGCGCCGCAGCCUCCAGUGCCAGCGCCGCAGCCUCCAGUGCCAGCGCCGCGGCCAGGUCCUCUGCAGCCAGCGCCGCGGCCCGGUCCUCCGGUGCCGCCUCUCGGGCCUUCACCUCCAGAGCCACCACCACCUCAGCAGCAGCUUCCUCAGCCGCAACCGCCUCUGCAACAGCCUCGCCGGCCGUCCCUGCAGCCUCACCGGCCGGUCCUGCCAGAAGACCCAGAGCAGC